GCGCCCUUAGCUCAGAUGGAUAGAGCACGUCCCUUCUAAGGAUGUGGUCAUAGGUUCGAAUCCUAUAGGGCGUGCCA
rnacentral:tRNA from 2 species